rfam:Intestinimonas butyriciproducens strain AF211, complete genome.
GUCGGUGCUGAUUGCGGUGAGGGUCCACCCGUUCCCAUUCCGAACACGGCAGUUAAGCUCACUUGCGCCGAAAAUACUUGCCUGGAGACGGGCCGGGAAGAUAGGUAGUGCCGACA